CCCCCCCGUANACACCGCCCGUCACACCAUGGGAGCGGGAUGUACCAGAAGUAGGUAGGCUAACCCGAGGGUAACUGAGGGGGCCGCUUACCACGGUGCGUUUCGUGACUGGGGUG
rnacentral:rRNA from 1 species